UACGUAGGGUGCAAGCGUUAAUCGGAAUUACUGGGCGUAAAGCGUGCGCAGGCGGUUAUGUAAGACAGAUGUGAAAUGCCCGGGCUUAACCUGGGAAUUGCAUUUGAUACUCUGGAGCUUGAGUACGGGAGAGGAGAGUGGAAUUCCCAGUGUAGAGGUGAAAUUCGUAGAUAUUGGGAAGAACACCGGUGGCGAAGGCGGCUCUCUGGACUGUAACUGACGCUGAGGCGCGAAAGCGUGGGGAGCAAACAGGG
rnacentral:rRNA from 1 species